CCCGAAGAAUGGGAAAGAAUUCAUCUCCUCGUUUUCUCUUCCUUUGUGUCUUUUGGAGGGGACUUUGGAAGAGAUGGCAGUCAUCAUCAUGCUUGAAAGAGACAGCACCCGCUAACCCAGCAUGCGAGCAGGCUGUAGCGUAGUACCCCUUCACCGCAUGUACACAGAUGUGAACUUCCUCGUAUUGCUGUCGCAUUCCGUUCCUUUGCGAAGCACCACAAGAUAUUGUAGGUACAGAAGCUCAGCGAGUUCCUCACGUUGUUGGUAUUUGGCGAAGCGUGCAAGCAACCGAUAGCCAAAGUGGCUUUGCCUUACCGCUUUCAAUGAGGUUGACCCCCACCCCACAAACACGGGCACACAAAAACAGACACGGACAAAGGAGCUGUACUGCAUCCCGCUCGUGAAACGAAAAGGCUCUGUAUUCUGUUCGGAGAGCGCGAGCACAUAGUAAAAAGAGUUGCCAUCUCGUCACCGCCACAGCGAGCUCUGAG
rnacentral:misc_RNA from 1 species